rnacentral:rRNA from 1 species
UAGGGAAUCUUCGGCAAUGGACGAAAGUCUGACCGAGCAACGCCGCGUGAGUGAAGAAGGUUUUCGGAUCGUAAAACUCUGUUGUUAGAGAAGAACAAGGACGUUAGUAACUGAACGUCCCCUGACGGUAUCUAACCAGAAAGCCACGGCUAACUACGUGCCAGCAGCCGCGGUAAUACGUAGGUGGCAAGCGUUGUCCGGAUUCAUUGGGCGUAAAGCGAGCGCAGGCGGUUUCUUAAGUCUGAUGUGAAAGCCCCCGGCUCAACUGGGGAGGGUCAUUGGAAACUGGGAGACUUGAGUGCAGAAGAGGAGAGUGGAAUUCCAUGUGUAGCGGUGAAAUGCGUAGAUAUAUGGAGGAACACCAGUGGCGAAGGCGGCUCUCUGGUCUGUAACUGACGCUGAGGCUCGAAAGCGUGGGGAGCAAACAGG